ACUUGUGCACGGCAUGCAUGCGCGCAACACCGCCACGACAGCAGCACAACCAUCACCACUCAUUCUGAGAAAGUCGCGGCACACGCACACCCGUGCAUACAUAUAUAUAUAUAUAUAAACGUCGAUGAGCGACUGCAGAGGCAAUCAUCCGUAUUAAGGCAGCCCUCAUAACGUGCGCUUGCCGCUGCUCGUGUGUGUGUCCGCCUAAAGCUGUGCUCUCUCCUCCCCCACCCCCUCUUUCGGUCACCCCUCCCCUCCCGCAAGCACGCGAGACACACGCAUACACACAUAGAGAGAGAAAGAAAGGGUCACCGCCGCCGGCGCCUGCACGCCAUCGCCCAGGCAGAGAGACUUUCAUCGAGCCCCCACACACACAACACACCACACAAUGCCGUCCUCCCCCUCUUACGCGGCGUACCUACGUGAGGUGGCGAGGGAAGUGAACGCCACCAUUGCCCCGGGCACCCUCACGGCGUGCCUCACUACAUCCACUGCUGCGGUCGUUGCUGCUCGCACGACCGUGAUGGUGCCGACGUCGCGGCUAUCGAGGUCUAGACGCCAGAGGGCUUGCUACGCUGGCCACGACCACACCAGCGGUAGCGCCAACACCAGCCGCAGCAGCGCUCCUCACACAACGGAUCUGUAUGGGGGCUCCUACGCGUACGACUACGUGCAGGUGCCGGCGAUGGGAACCCUCAGCAGCGCCGGCGCGGUGCAGCUCUAUCGAUGCUGGCGGCGGCGGCAGCAGAAGCGGCAGCGGCGCGUGGAUGCCCACAUGCCGCGCAGCUCCCGCAGCGCCCGCACAGCUGCUGUGCAUCCGUCCUCGUUCUCGCACACCACCAGUCACCUCACAACAGGCACAGCCAAGCAGGACCGCGAGCGCGACGUCGACGUGGAUGUCAUGCAGCGCUCUUUCCAGCGCCUGUACGCGGCGAUGCAGGAUGAGGGCCGUCGUCAAGGCCAUGAUACCGUCACCACCGAAAGAGUCGCCCACGCCUCACACUCCGUCCCCUGCUCGCCGCAGCGGCGAAGUCGCAGCUGUCCCACGCGCUCACAGCGGCGCCAUAUGCACACCGCGUCUCCGCAGGCAUUGGACGGUGCCGCUGCGGCCAUUCGCGUCCCCCCCAUGGACUUCGACAGUGACAGCAUCAUCGUCAUCGACGACGGCGACAACCGCCAUCGUUCCGGCACAAAGUCGGUGAAGGCAGAGAAGAAGUCCGUGAAGACGCAGGAGAGUCCGCGGCCUACGGCGGGGUCGACAGCGGCUAGUGUGAAGGUCGUGUCGCCUGCGCUUACCAGCACAGACACCUCCGCGAUCACCUCCAGCCCCUCGAAGCCGUCCACCUCGUCCUCGCGGUCAUGCUCGCCGCCACGGAAGCCUCGGGCGCAGCGGCACCAGUGCCCCAACUGCUGUCGCCGAUGCGACUCGUGUGACUGCAUCGUCCUACCGUGUCCGGUGAACGCUCGUGAGCACCGCUCUCGCGGUGCGGUGGCCGAUGCCGCUCAUGGCAGGUGUCACGCGCACUCCUCGCCGGCGCGAGGUCGUUGGUUGUCGUCCGCCGAUUGUGCGGCCACGAACAAGGACGGCGCACCAGCGGCAUCGAAGACGGCGACUGUGGACUCCCCGCGCCUGCAGUGGCCGGGUCAGUUACCUGCGACACCCUCUCGACGCCCGUCGCCAGAGCAGCUGUCCUCACCAGAGGUACGGUGCCACUCUACCAGACGUGCGCGUCACAGGAGGCGGCAGCAGUCGCCCGCCCACGACAGGCAUCACUGCCGUCAUGAUCGACGUGUUGACCGCAGUUGCGGUGCGCACCGCAGAGAAAAGUCGACCUCUGCGGGCGCGGUGGCCGCUGUGUCGUCCACACACGGCCGCGUGGAUCACGGGAAGGGCGAGGCGGUUCUCCGCGACAUCGCCACGCGCACGUGCACGUGCUACUGGGCGGAGUUCUCCGGCUUUACGAUGGCGGUGAACCCUGCCUCGCAUGCCGCUGACUGCCCAUACCAAGCGCACGACGCCCUCUACGCCGAGGUAAUGCUGGAGAGCAAGGCCGACGACGGCGGCAGCGGUUCUGCCAGCACCUCCUCUCAUGGUCGAUGCUCCUCCUCUGCCUUCUUGCGCGGCCGCUGCAACACGCGUGGCAAGCAAAGCAGCUCGAGGCAUUACAGGCAGGAAUACGACGCCGGCGCGGCGCAGCUCAGGCAGGCACUAGAUGACCCCGAGGCUAGGCGCACGCGCGGCCGCGCCGCCGUCAUGGGCUCCACGAAGCGGCGGACGUACAUUGAGAUAAUCAUGGACGCGGCGCGCGACGCUCCGCCGUCACAGCCGCCGCGCUCUGGUAGCCGCCGCAGCAAUGCAAAGGCCACGGCAACUUCGUUGGCGGCGAAGCACGACGCCGAGGUCACUGCAGCGGCAGCGCCACGGCCGCCCACCCCAACGGCUCAGGCUAGCCUGCCGACUGGGGAAGCGCCAACAAAGGUCGAAGAUGAGCCGCAGCAGCUGCUGCCCUCAAAUCGGUCAUCAUCAGAGAAUGAUGCAGCGGCAGCAGCUUCCGACGAAGACAAGGAUGGUGCGCCAGCUGCGGAAGACCAGCACGACGAGGCCGGCCGGAGCAGCAGGGGGAAGAAGCAGCCGCUGCCCAACGAUGAGAGCCCCUUGCGAGCCCUCUCCCGCCCGCGCCGCCGCCCCGCCGUCGGGGUGCCAGGCCCCGGAUCCUACCACGUGGAUCUCGCCUACGCGGCCAGCUCCGCAGCGCACGGGAUUCGCGGUGCCGCGAUCCCGAAGUCGGCCCGCAUGCCCGCCGUCAAGUCCGUCACACCAGGCCCAGGCGCCUACGACGUGUACAAGCGUGAAGAGCGCAAGGCCGUCGCUGCUGGCGGUGCGGCGGCGGCCACCACCGAUGGGGACGCUACGGACGGCAAGGAUGCAGACACCACUCCAACCGCGGGAAAGCAAGUGAUAGGCAAAGGCGUCGUCUUCGCCAGCACCAGUGCUCGACAGCUGCAGUUGCGGUACGGCGAUGCCUAUGUGCACACCUCGACCUGGGCGAAGCGUGCGGCUGCCGUGCCCGGGCCUGGUGCAUACAAUAUCGUCGACGGCGACCGCUACGACCAGAGCAGGCCGCUCGGUGCGGCACGGACAGGCCACCAGUUUUCCAAGUCCGCUGACGGGGCACACUUUUCUGUUGUUGUCGCCGCCGCCGCUGCAGCAGCAGCAGCAGCAACGCCCCUGCGCGCCUCACUCGUCGUGCCGUGGCGCGACUGGGCCGGUGGCGCGUACAUCGGUACGACCACAUCCGACUUCGUGGCGCACCCGUCCCUGGCCGGUGGCAAUCGGCGCACUAUCGGGCAGACGGUCGCUGCAGACUCAUACACAGUCUGUUGCAGCAACACUUCAGCUGCUGUAGCGGCGGCUGCAGCCGCCACCGACGGCAGUUUGUGGAGGGGUGUCGGCAGCGGCGUAGCCCUGCGCCUGACCAGCCAGCGCUUCCCUGUGAAGACGGCAGGUGCACCCGCGGCUGCCGUGGCCGGAGGACACGACUCGAAGACCGGCCGCACCGGAAACGCAGAAGGCGCCGCUCCGCCACCCGGAGAACCCAGCCCGGCCGCGUACGAUGUGGAGCGCGGGCUGCGGUGGGUGCAGCGUCGUGCGCCCGAGGUAUCUAUGACAUUCCGCCACGACCGCGGUCCACGAGGACCGCUCCUCUCCGCGGCGGCAGCUGCCGAUGACGACACCCUUGCUAGCGCAGUCGGCAGCAGUGCACCGCGAAUGGCGCUGCCACCUUUAUCGCCCCUGCUCAGCGACGACGUCAGCUUCAGCCCUGGGCCUGGCACGUACGACGUGCGCGGCGUCGACGUGUGGCGCAUGCGGCGCAGUCCGCAGUGGUCCUUCGGCACCGCGGCGCGACACGCCCCGAGCGCGGCAGUAUCAGUGAGUGCCGUCGCGGAGGGCACAAACGACUUGAAUGGCCGGGCCCUGCACGCCGUCGACCAUCCUGGCCCUGGCGCCUACGAUACGGAGGCCGGCUAUCGCGCAUUGCAGCGCUCCGCGGCGAGCGCGCUCAUCUGCACAGCACCGCGGCUCACUGUCGACGGCAGCCACCGCGCCGGUGUCCAGAUCAGCGCAGCCACGGCUGGCGACACGGUUGAUGGCGCGCGUGCAGGCCCAGGCACCUACGAUGUGGAGAGCGGCUACAAGGUGGUGCGCGAGAGCAUCAAGGGUGGAGUUAUCCCGCGCGCCGGGGCGGAUGCGCGGGCAAAGGUCGAGGGCGAAGAGGUGCAGGACGGCGGACCGGGCCCUGGUGCGUACACGCUGCCGGCUCUGCCGCCGAGCGGUCCCACCGCGUACCUCGGCAUGAGCGCGCCGCGCUUCCCGAAUGAACAGGCGCUGGCGGCCACGGAGGGCAAUAGUGGAGGGCAAGGAGCAGCAGCAGCGGCAGCAGCCAACGGGCGCCCGCACCACCCCAGCACUGCCCUCUUCCUUGCCCAUCUAGCUACCCCCGGUCCUGGCGACUAUGACGUCGACGCCGCCACGAGCCUCGUGAACCGCCCGGGCGCUAUCAUCGGCCGCGCCCCGCGAGUCUCGCUGCUCGUGCCGACUGGAGCAACCUCUGCGAAUGUAGGUCCUGGCAGCUACAUGCUGCCCGCACUGCCGGCUGGCCGAGGUGCCGUAAUGUCCACCGCGCGUGCCGUCGCCACCGCCGAAACGGGCGAGGCGGCAGAGCGGCCAGGUCCUGGGCUCUACGACCCCGUGGACAUGCGUGCGUCGUCCACGCGCACCUUCUCGCUUGCUCGCACGGGCGCGCGCUUCCCCUGCAGCGAUGCACGCGUUACCGACGCUCCGGGCCCUUGUGCGUACGACCUGCCUGCGGUGCCUAUGACCCGCGGCGUCGUCUUCGACACGGCGCCUCGCUUUUCGCGCAGCAGCGGCGGCCAGAGCACCGACGGUGUCGGCCCUGGUGCGUACGAGGUGGUGGACCUCAGCCCACCUGGGCGGAGCGCGGUGAUGGGCUCUGCAGUGGCACGUCCGGAUCUGGAGCGAAAGGAUGGCAACGGCGGCGGCCCUGGUGCCUACAGCCCCCAGUACGCUCAAGUCGAGAAAAACGCACCGCGGGUGGUGCUGGCACGCGCUCCUGCAGGACGAGGCGCCGCCGACUACUACGCGAGCGGUGACGCGUCGAUGCCGUCCCACGAGCAGCGCGCCGGUGCCGUCUCCGAGCUGGGGCCAGGGCAGUACGACCCACAGUACCCGUCCGACGUAGUGCAGGCAGGACGUGGCUACACCUUCGGCUCUGCCCCUCGCGCCGCCGCCGUGGCAGGCGCCGUGGAUGGGCCGGGCCCCGGUGCCUACGAAGUGCGGAUGACGCGGGACGGUCGAUUGGUGGACGGCGGCGACGGCAGUGGCGCGGCGGGCUUUGGCACUGCGCCGCGGUUGGCAGAGGCGGGCGCCUCAGCGACGAUGCCCGCAGGCCCGGGACCUGGAGCGUACAUGCCGGAGGCGUACACCGACAUGAGCGCCGGCUUUGGCUGCGGAGCGCUCUCUCCGGCGGUCCGCAUUGGAAGCGCUCCGCGGAUCGUCGGCGACGACGCACGCGCGGCUGCGGACGUGCCGGGCCCCGGGGCGUACGAGCCGAAUCCCUGUGUGCUGUAUCCAACGGUCCCGUCCAUCAGCUUCCCGCGCGCCGACUCUGCCCACGCCCUUGGCGACACCGAUACCCCGGGGCCAGGCGCCUACGUCACAACGGGGUUCGCAGCCGCGCGUGCGGCCCAGUUUGGGUGUGCACCUCGGUUCUCAGAGGGCAGCGUUGGUGGUCUCGCUGCAUAUGCGCGCAACGGCGCUGAGGGCGCUGCGAGCGUGCCCGGCCCCAACGCCUACUCGCCGAACGACGCUGCGAUUCGCCCAGCACGGUCGGCGCACCGCUUCGGGACAGCGGCCCGCCUAGCCAACACUGUCGGGGAGGCCGCCGAGGCGGACGGCGUCGGUCCUGGCGCCUAUGAUGUCGAGGCGGGCCUGGCACACAGCUCGCAGGGGCCAGCCGCCGCCGCCUACAGCUUUCCACGUGCUGGCGGUAGUGGUGAUUAUAUUGGCAACCCGAGUGUGGGGGGUACAGCAGCUGGCGGGGUGGCGGAGUCUCCGGGCCCGGGAGCGUACAGCGUGGAGGCCGCCUAUCGAGCCACGCUGCCCCGCGUCGCCACCGCCAUCCUCUCCGGUGGUGAGGCGAGCGGCGUCAACGGCGUUCGCGGCAACGACAAAGGCGAAGCGUCCUCCCCAGGACCUGGCGCGUACCAUCUGCCUCCUUUCUUUCCUGAAGGCCCGCAGUGGGGGUUCGGCACCUCGAUGAGGAGUGCAGCCGCAGACGCGACUGAUGGAUCAUCAGCCCUCGCGACCGCCUCGCCAGGCCCAGGCGAGUACGCCGUACCGGCUCCUGCGCCGCUGCAUAGCGGCUCGUCGUUCCCGAAAGCAGAGACAGCUUCGCCGACAGGCGACGCCACCUUGCCUGGGCCUGGGACGUACAACGUGGUGGAUGCUGCUGUGCGACCAUCCGCGCCUGGCGUGCGCUUCGGGACCGCAGCGCGGUACGCCUGCGCCGACGUGUCUGUCGGCGACGUCGACACUGCGGCGGUCGGCGUUCACGACGGUGGCGUGCCGUGGACGCCAGGUCCGGGUGCAUACUCGCCGAAUGUAAAUGCCUCCUCUACUUCGCGUUCUACCCGGGCCGGUCCGACCUUCUCGCAGGCGCCACGCAUGGCGCUGUCUGCGUCGGCGGAUGCUGUGGAAUGGGGUGCAGGGGCGCAGGGGGACAACAUCGGCCCAGGCACUUACGAUCUUCAUGGCGAUAUGGCAGCCAGUACAGCAGCGGCGCACCGUUUCGGCACCGCACCGCGCAUGCCGCCCGCCACCGCACCUGGUGCUGCCACUAAAGGCGAUGUUGGGCCUGGCAGCUACAUGAUCGAGGCAGCGGAUGCACAGGUGCUGCCUCGUGCGCCAACCCACACCAUGGCACCGCCCGCGCCGCACGCACCACGACCACAGGAGCCGCGACCGGGCCCGGGGAGCUACGAGUAUCCGGUCGCCGUCCAAGAGCACCGGCGCUCGGCGCUGGUGCUGGGUCGCCACGGCGACUCGAUGGACAUCACACGCGACACGCCGGGUCCAGGAGCGUACGACACAGAUACCGCGUACACCUCCACUCAGGUAGCACGGCAGCCGGGCGGGUUCACCAUGCAAGGACGUCCGGCAGCGUCGAUGCCAGUGGGGUUGGCCGGGGGGCCUGGGCCAGGCUCGUAUAGCGCCGGUGCCUCCGCAGCAUCGGCGGCUGCAGCGCACCGCUUUGGCACGGCCCCACGGAUGCUGAGCGCCGCGAACGGCAACGCUGGUGUCGGCCCUGGCGCCUACGACCUCCCAGCGCCGCCCGCCAUUCGACAGCCGGUGAGCUUCACGCAAGCGCCACGGGAGAUGGUCGUGGGCUCGCACGAAGGCAACACCGACGACCUGCACAGCGGAGACAUGCGUGGUGGCCUUGUCGGUGGCGGCACCCCCGGGCCAGGGUCGUACGACGUUGGGAGUGCCAUCGACUGCACACAUAUGGGAGGACGGGGCCCGAGCUUUACGAUUCCGCGUGGGCCGCGGCCGGUGCUGCGCAGUGGGGACGUCGACGCCUCCCCGCUCGUGGGGCCAGGCACGUACAGCCCUGUCGACCCGACGUCGCACCACCACGGCGGCGGUGGCAGCAGCACCAACGGCCCUUCCGCAGCCUUCGGUCUGGCAGAGCGUGCCGUGAACAACAUCCAGAGCGGCAGUGACGCACCCGGCCCAGGCACGUAUGACCCCCACCGCCCUAGCCUCGCCAGCGGAGCCGGGAUCGGGCCGUCCUUCGGCUCCGCGGUGCGGAUGGACGACGUGGGUGGUGCGGCGUUGGCAGCUACUCCCGGCCCCGGCACCUACGCGGUGGCGCCCUCCUUCAAGGCAACUUCGGCUACCGGAUCAGCGCCGGCGCAGCGCUUCGGCACCGCGAAGCGGCCAUCGGCGGUGCUGAACGAAAACCCGGGCCCUGGCAGCUACGCUGUCGCCGGCUACGACGCUGCCACCUGCGGUGCCGCGACGGCGCCGUCGUUUGGGCAUGCGGAGCCGCGACCACACCUGGCAUGCUGCGGCUUGGACACCCCUGGGCCAGGGGCCUACUACCGCGCAAGCAACCUCGACGGCACAUCGACUGCCGCAGGCCCAAGUUUCGGCUUUGGCGAGAGGAUGAGGGCGGUAGCAGGUACAGCUACUCCAGGCCCCGGCACCUACUAUAGAGACUCAGCGGCGUCGGUAGCGGCGGGUGUGGUGGAAGGCAGAGGUGCCAGCUUCGGGUUUGGCGAGCGGACCUCUCCGGUGCUGAACAACUACCCCGGGCCUGGCACCUACUUCCGAGGUGCCGGCCUCGCAGCCGACGUGGCAGCGCUGCGCGGGCCGUUGUUUGGCACGGGCGAGCGUCAUGACCCAAAACUAAACAGCAACCCCGGCCCAGGAACCUACUUCAGGGAUACACUGCCCGCAGCCGCCAGCGCCGCCCAACCACGGCCGCGACGACCCACGGCGGCAGACACGCUGCGAAAGCUUGCCAGCGUCGGGUAUCCGACGCUGGCAAGCAAGACGAAGCCAGCGACCACCACCACAGCCACCGACAGCCGCAGCACUGGGUGAAUGACGACUUGAAAGACACGCACUCCAUCUGAAAUCCGUAUAUGUGUGCGCCGUCAUUGGUCCACGCCCUCGCCCUGCCGCGUGCGUGUGGCAGCAUAGAAACAAAAAAAAAACGGACGAAACCGAUAUUGCAUAGAUGUUAAGAGAGAGAGGCGUGUUGUGAGCGAGUGUGUUGGUGUUGGCGCGCCUUCUCUUGUGCAUGUUGUUGGCCUUAAUGCUUCCUCAGCACCCACCAACACCGCCACCAUCACCAUCACCCGCCUCCAGAAUGCUCCACAGCCCCCCCCUCCACAUACUUCUUCUCGCUCACGUUUUUUUUCGCCGUUGUCGUUGCAUGAGGUCUACGCAUGUGUGAUGCGUGUCUGUCGAGCGCUGCAUGCGUUCCGUCUCU
rnacentral:misc_RNA from 1 species